AGCUCCAAUAGUGUAUAUUAAAGUUGUUGCAGUUAAAAAGCUCGUAGUUGGAUUUCGGAACAUGACAGAGCACAGGUCCAUCAAAUUUGAUGCUGUACCGGUUCUGUCGUUCCUCUCUUUUUGCUGUCGAUCUGUGUUUUGUGUCUAGUUACACAAUUCACUACUAAUGUUCGUCGCAAAUAUUUUACUUUGAAAAAAUUAGAGUGUUCAAAGCAGGCGUAAAUUUUGCCUUGAAUACAUUAGCAUGGGAUAAUGGAAAAGGACUUUAGUUCUAUUUUCGUUGGUUUCUGGGGCUGAGGUAAUGAUUAAUAGGGACAGUUGGGGUCAGAUGUAUUCUGUUGUCAGGGGUGAAAUCCUAAGAUUGACAGAAGACAAACUACUGCGAAAGCAUUUGACAAGG
rnacentral:rRNA from 1 species